rnacentral:rRNA from 1 species
UAGUGAUAUGCUUCUUUCAAAGAUUAAGCCAUGCAAGUCUAGUUCAAGUGAUCACCUCGGUGAACACGAAACUGCGAUAAGCUCAUUAUAAAAGUUAGAGUGUACAGGGUGCUUAUCCACAGGUGUAUAGUGGCUUGCCACGAACGCUUGUAUCAACAGGGUAUUUCGGAUAACUCUGGAAAAUCUGGAGCUAAUACGUGCAUGUGGUCUUCGGACCCACUGUAUUUAUCCGCUCUCGGAACCAACCUUGUCUUUCAGUUUCGGCUGGGAGGCUUGUGAUGUGAACAAGGAUAACUCAACUGACCGUUUCUUUCGAGACGGUGCGCCCUUCCACUUUCUUACCUAUUAACUUUCGAUUGUUGUGUAGUGGACAACAAUGGUUUUGAUGGGUACGGAGGAUUAGGGUUCGACUCCGGAGAGUCCGCCUUAAAGACGGCUGACACUUCCAAGGAAGGCAGCAGGCGCGAAAAUUACCCAAUCGACAAUUGUCGGAGGUAGUGACGAAGAAUAUCAGGCUCGGGAGAUUUUAUCUUCCAGCUUCGAAAUGGAAGGGGUUAAAUCAUACCCCUUGAGAAACUACUGGAGGGCAAGAUCUGGUGCCAGCAGCCGCGGUAAUACCAGCUCCAGUAGCAUAUAUUAAAGUUGCUGCAGUUAAAACGCUCGUAGUUGGACUUCAGGGUGCCAGGCGCUGAGCCACUGGAAGCUUUCUAGUGUGAUGACGUUAUUAGCUUGUUGGAUUGUCGCUUCGGCGGUGAUUUGGCUCGUGAGUUGUCUUAGUUCAGGCCUCGUGUGCCCUACACUGUGCUCUCUUUUAACUUCGGUUGUUAGAGAGUGCCAGAUACCUUGAGGAAAUUGGAGUGUUCAAGGCAAGCGAUUAUUCGCGAUUGACCACUGAAGCAUGGAAUAUCGACCAUGACUCUUGUCACGGCUCGUUGGUUUCACGGCAGAGUAAUGAUUAAUAGGAGCGGUCGGGGCCAUUGGUAUGCUUGCGUGAGAGGUGAAAUUUUUAGACCGCAGGCAGACCAACUACUGCGAAAGCAUUUGGCAAGGACGCUUUCAUUAAUCAAGAACGAAAGUUGGGGGAUCGAAGGCGAUUAGACACCACCGUAGUCCCAGCCAUAAACUAUGCCGACUAGGGAUUGGACUUUUUGUCCACCUUUACAAUGACACUUCCAGCACCUUAUGAGAAAUCAAAGUUUUUGGGUUCUGGGGGGAGUACGGUCGCAAGGCUGAAACUUAAAGGAAUUGACGGAGAUCUACACCAGGUGUGGAUUCUGCGGCUUAAUUUGACUCGACGCGGGGAAGCUUACCAGGCCCAGACAUUCGAAGGAUUGACAGAUUGAUAGCUCUUUCAUGAUUGUUUGAUGAGUGGUGCAUGGCCGUUUUUAGUUCGUGGAGUGAUCUGUCUGCUUUAUUGCGAUAACGAACGAGACCAAUACCUGCUAAAUAGCGGUUAUGACAUUCAGUUGACUGGAUGUUGAAUUGGGCAUGAUCUGUUUGCGACUUCAUUGACUUCGGUUGGUGGGGAAACUUAUGGUUCAUGGCUUUUAUUCAGUGUCCAACUCGGCUGGCGAAAGUGUCGUAAUUGGGAGGUGUACCCUUCGGGGAUUCCAUCUUCUUCGCUUCUUAGAGGGACUACUUGCGCAAGCGAGGGGAAGUUAUUGGCAACAACAGGUCAGGGAUGCCCUUUAGAUGGUCUUGGGCUGCACGCGUAAUACAAUGGACGGUUCAACGAGCUCUGAUUAACGAGUUGGUAACGGAGUUGGAUUCACUUACUGGUCACUUCGGUGGUUGGUAAGUCCUACUUGCAGUGCUGGCAUCCGUUGUCUCCUAGCCCGAAGGGGUAUGUGCGGUAAACAUUGGCUUUUGUCUUUGUAUGCUGUGCGUUUGGGGUAAUCUUGUGAAAACCGUCCGCGCUGGGGAUUGAGGUUUGUAAUUUUCCCUCAUGAACCAGGAAUACCUCGUAAGUGCACGUCAUCAACGUGCGCUGAAUACGUCCCUGGAUCUUGUACACACCGCCCGUCGCUCCUACCGAUUGAAUGUUCCGGUGAGUUGUCUGGACUGCGCGCCCUUAGUGUUAUGCUUGCGUAAUACGGGGCUUGUGAUUACUUGCUUGCUUGUAGUCACUGUGCGGGAAGUUCCGCGAGCCUUGACAUUUAGAGGAAGGAGAAGUCGUAACAAGGU